UACAGAGGGUGCAAGCGUUGUUCGGAAUUACUGGGCGUAAAGCGCACGUAGGCGGCUUUGCAAGUUAGAGGUGAAAGCCCGGGGCUCAACUCCGGAAUUGCCUUUAAAACUGCAUCGCUAGAAUUGUGGAGAGGUAAGUGGAAUUCCGAGUGUAGAGGUGAAAUUCGUAGAUAUUCGGAAGAACACCAGUGGCGAAGGCGACUUACUGGACACAUAUUGACGCUGAGGUGCGAAAGCGUGGGGAGCAAACAGG
rnacentral:rRNA from 1 species